UACAGAGGGUGCGAGCGUUAAUCGGAAUUACUGGGCGUAAAGGGCGCGUAGGCGGUGCAUCAAGUCAGGCGUGAAAGCCCCGGGCUCAACCUGGGAACCGCGCUUGAGACUGGUGCGCUCGAGUUCGGGAGAGGAUGGUGGAAUUCCCAGUGUAGAGGUGAAAUUCGUAGAUAUUCGCAAGAACACCAGUGGCGAAGGCGGCUCACUGGCCCGAUACUGACGCUGAGGUGCGAAAGCGUGGGGAGCAAACAGG
rnacentral:rRNA from 1 species